GACCUGGUGGUGUAAUGGUAACAUACCUGCUCAUAUUUCCCAUUGAAAGAAACUCAGUAAGCAGGAGUUCCCUGUUCAACUCAGGGUUGGGUCA